AUACGUAGGGGGCGAGCGUUGUCCGGAUUUACUGGGCGUAAAGGGUGAGUAGGCGGUUAUAUAUGUCAGAUGUAAAAGGCACAGGCUUAACUUGUGUAAGCAUUUGAAACUGUAUGACUUGAGUGCAGGAGAGGUAAGUGGAAUUCCUAGUGUAGCGGUGAAAUGCGUAGAUAUUAGGAGGAACACCAGUGGCGAAGGCGACUUACUGGACUGUAACUGACGCUGAGUCACGAAAGCGUGGGUAGCAAACAGGAUUAGAUACCCUGGUAGUCCACGCUGUAAACGAUGAGUGCUAGGUGUUGGCCAGCGAUGGUCAGUGCCGAAGUUAACACAAUAAGCACUCCGCCUGGGGAGUACGGUCGCAAGACUGAA
rnacentral:rRNA from 1 species